GUACUUUGUUUAGCCCCAAAAAGGUUAUGUCUAACACACUCACCGUUACAAUGGAUUGUGGGUGAACACCUGACUAGAACCACCAAAGGUCCUUUAGCAAACCAUAGAGUUCUGUGAACAUGACCCGCAGGUCCUUCGACGCUAAAACAAAUGGCUAGGAAAACAGAAGACAGAAACAUCAGCCAGUAGAGUUGUUCGCAUCGACAAAGACCAGUGGACUCACGGCAAACCAGCUUCAAAUCUGCAGACAGAUGUGAAAUCUCAUGGGACUAUGGUCCAUAAAUUGUGGUGGUGGGUUCAGUCACGUUAGGCUUGAGAAAGGGAGAGAUCCUGAUGUCGCCAAUCAAGCUCACCUGUUGGUGAGCCUCAGACACUGUUCUCAGAGUGGAGCAAGGUGCGCAGCUAAUAUGGACACUCCAACACAGAGCUCCGGCUGGAGAGUAAGAAGUUAAACCAAGGCUACAAAACCGUAUCAGCAAACGAGCAC